rnacentral:rRNA from 1 species
UACGUAGGGGGCAAGCGUUGUCCCGGAUUUAUUGGGCGUAAAGAGCGUGUAGGCGGCCAAGCAGGUCCGCUGUGAAAACUCGAGGCUCAACCUCGAGACGUCGGUGGAAACCGUUUGGCUAGAGUCCGGAAGAGGCGAGUGGAAUUCCUGGUGUAGCGGUGAAAUGCGCAGAUAUCAGGAGGAACACCGAUUGCGAAGGCAGCUCGCUGGGACGGUACUGACGCUGAGACGCGAAAGCGUGGGGAGCAAACAGG